rnacentral:rRNA from 1 species
GACGAACGCUGGCGGCGUGCUUAACACAUGCAAGUCGAACGGAAAGGCCUUGUCUGAGGUACUCGAGUGGCGAACGGGUGGGUAACACGCGGGUGAUCUGCCCUGCACUCUGGGAUAAGCCUGGGAAACUGGGUCUAAUACCGGAUAGGACCGCACAUUCGUGUGUGUGGUGGAAAGUUUUUUCGGUGUGGGGUGAGCCCGCGGCCUAUCAGCUUGGUGGUGGGGUAAUGGCCUACCAAGGCGGCGACGGGUAGCCGGACUGAGAGGUUGGGCGGCCACAUUGGCACUGAGAUACGGCCCAGGCUCCUACGGGAGGAAGAAGUGGGGAAUAUUGAACAAGGGGAGCAAGCCUGAUGCAGAGACGCCGCGGGGGGGAUGACGGCGUUGGGGUUGUAAUCUCCUAUCGCCAGGGACGAGGAGUUUUGUGACGGUACCUGGAGAAGAAGCACCGGCUAACUACGUG